rnacentral:rRNA from 1 species
UACGAGGGGGGCGAGCGUUGUUCGGGAUUAUUGGGCGUAAAGGGUGCGUAGGCGGUUUGGUAAGUCUGAUGUGAAAUCUAUGGGCUCAACUCAUAGUCUGCAUCGGAAACUGCCGGGCUUGAGUGUGGGAGAGGUGAGUGGAAUUCCUGGUGUAGCGGUGAAAUGCGUAGAUAUCAGGAGGAACACCUGUGGCGAAAGCGGCUCACUGGACCAUAACUGACGCUGAUGCACGAAAGCUAGGGGAGCAAACAGG